UGCGUAGGCGGGUCUCUAAGUCAGAGGUGAAAGCCUGGAGCUCAACUCCAGAACUGCCUUUGAUACUGGAAGUCUUGAGUAUGGCAGAGGUGAGUGGAACUGCGAGUGUAGAGGUGAAAUUCGUAGAUAUUCGCAAGAACACCAGUGGCGAAGGCGGCUCACUGGGCCAUUACUGACGCUGAGGCACGAAAGCGUGGGGAGCAAACA
rnacentral:rRNA from 1 species